rnacentral:lncRNA from 1 species
UCCCGGCGUCCGCUAAAUUCAUAGAAUGAAACUCCAGUCUUACUCAUACAAAUGCACCCAGAAGUAUAUUAUUUAAUACUCACUAUAUAUCAUAUGGUAGGAAAUGAAACUCACAUGGAUGAACAUUAAGAAGAUUUCUCAACAUUAUAAUAACAAAAGCUAGCGAACUCCUGGUAGAAGACUGGCGCCAGAGAGGAUAUAGUGGCGACAGUGUAAUAUUCACGCUGUGAGUUACACGGAAGACAUUGUAUUUACAUGGAGUGUAAACAUAUUUGCUUCUUGUUCUCGGUGUCAUGAUGCUAAUGAAGUGAGACUUGUGGACUAAACAUGGGAAGUUUAUCGAGAAACUUGUCCUAGAUUUUAUAAAGGACGACCAUUCAGGCUAAACGUGUCCCGAGGUUAGGGGAAGGGGAGGGGGGUCAGAUAUGUUAUUCAUCGGCAGAAGAACAAACGAACCAUUUUAACCCGUUAAUUGUUUAUUGUUUCAUCAAGCCUUGUGUUGUUUUCUUGUUUCAUAUGAUUAAUAAUGUGUUACAGAAUAGAUUCAAACGUGUAAGAUAAGUGUUAAAUGAUUAGGGUCUCUCUUGGCUAUGGGACGCCCAUGGAUAAAUGAAUACAUGGCAACCGAAACUGUAUUUAUAUAGAUGUGACGUCACAGAGCAUGGCGUCAAGCCAAAACUACCCCAAUACAAACACCGUUCCAUGGCAGACAGUGCCCAUUACCCCGCAACUGUAACUUUUUUUUAGUUCAUUUUAUGCACUUUUUACCCCAUAAUUAUCUUCAUCGGUUAAUGUGACAAGCUAUAGAGUGCUUGAUAAUUAGUUUGAAGUUAUUUAAAAUCUGUUUUUUUGUAUAGGAAAGACAUCCUUAGUUUAUUACGGUUGUACUUGUAAUUGAUGAGGUUAGUAAGGAG